CGGAGGAUCCAAGCGUUAUCCGGAAUCAUUGGGUUUAAAGGGUCCGUAGGCGGGUUUAUAAGUCAGUGGUGAAAGCCCAUCGCUCAACGAUGGAACGGCCAUUGAUACUGUAGAUCUUGAAUUAUUAGGAAGUAACUAGAAUAUGUAGUGUAGCGGUGAAAUGCUUAGAGAUUACAUGGAAUACCAAUUGCGAAGGCAGGUUACUACUAAUGGAUUGACGCUGAUGGACGAAAGCGUGGGUAGCGAACAGGGAUUAGAUACCCUGGUAGUCCACGCCGUAAACGAUGGAUACUAGCUGUUCGGAGCAAUCUGAGUGGCUAAGCGAAAGUGAUAAGUAUCCCACCUGGGGAGUACGUUCGCAAGAAUG
rnacentral:rRNA from 1 species